rnacentral:rRNA from 1 species
GUCGAGGGACCGGCGCACGGGUAAGUAACGCGUAUGCAACUUACCUAUCAGAGGGGGAUAGCCCGGCGAAAGUCGGAUUAAUACCCCAUGUGAUAGAUAGGCAUGCGUUCCAUUAGGCAGUUGGCGGGGUAACGGCCCACCAAACCGACGAUGGAUAGGGGUUCUGAAGGAAGGUCCCCCACAUUGGUACUGAGACACGGACCAAACUCCUACGGGAGGCAGCAGUGAGGAAUAUUGGUCAAUGGCCGAGAGGCUGAACCAGCCAAGUCGCGUGAAGGAAGAAGGAUUAUGGUUUGUAAACUUCUUUUAUAGGGGAAUAUGUACCCUAUGAAUAAGCAUCGGCUAACUCCGUGCCAGCAGCCGCGGUAAUACGGAGGAUGCGAGCGUUAUCCGGAUUUACUGGGUUUAAAGGGUGCGUAGGUGGUGAUUUAAGUCAGCGGUGAAAGUUUGUGGCUCAACCAUAAAAUUGCCGUUGAAACUGGGUUACUUGAGUGUGUUUGAGGUAGGCGGAAUGCGUGGUGUAGCGGUGAAAUGCAUAGAUAUCACGCAGAACUCCGAUUGCGAAGGCAGCUUACUAAACCAUAACUGACACUGAAGCACGAAAGCGUGGGGAUCAAACAGGAUUAGAUACCCUGGUAGUCCACGCAGUAAACAUGAUUACUAGGAGUUUGCAAGCUCUCAGCGAAAGCGUUAAGUAAUCCACCUGGGGAGUACGCCGGCAACGGUGAAACUCAAAGGAAUUGACGGGGGCCCGCACAAGC